rnacentral:lncRNA from 1 species
GUAAAGUCCAUGCCUGACAAAUUGAGGCUGUUCUGAGAGCAAAAAGGGGGGUACAACUCAAUAUUAGGAAGGUGUUCUUAAUGUUUUGUACACUCUAUAUGCCUAUGCAUAAACUUUAUGCAUCCAAUGCUGAAACAGCGUAAAAAGCAUAUGGGUGUUUUGAAUCAUUCAUCAUAGAAAGCGCUGUCCAUUUCGUUGUUAGGCUUCGAAACAUCCACCACGACCAUGUUUUCCACUCAGUUUCAACCUGUUGUUGAACUUAUUUCUUCAAAUUGAUCAAUCCCAGUCAGGCAUGACGUGGGACCCUGCUAAGCCAAUCGAGGCAAGGAAACCUCUCGAGCCAGCUAAGGCGUGGAAGCCCGACGAUCCAGCUGAGGCACCCCCGGUUCCAUCGGCAGCGGCACCCGGACCCGACAUCACCAACAAAAACAAAAACUCCCAAUUGCUUCAAAUUGUGGUGUCAGCAUUCUGUAAGGACAGAAGCUUGGAGAUGAGAAGCAAGUACAGGGAUUGAACAUUUAAUUAAUAAGCAGACAUGAAACAAGACAAGACAGCAUCUGUACAUGAAAAACAUAACGACAUUAAUGCUGACACAGGGAACAAACUGAGGAACAGACAGAUAUAGAGGGGGAAAUCAACAAUGUGAAGGAGUCCAGUUCCUUUUGUUCGUAAAGCCUACCAGUGGUUUUCCCCUUGAUCUUCUCUGAGGUUAGUUCCUGUUUUCUAAUUUUGCCGGUUUUGACCAUUCAGCCUGACCUGAGCCUACCUGCCGUUUCUGUACCUUGUCACACCACCCUGGAUUUAUGACUGCUGCCUGCCCUGACCCCGAGACUGCCUGCCAUUCUGUACCUUUUGGACUCUGAUCUGGAUUACUGACCUCUGCCUGCCCUUGACCUGUCAUUUUGCCUGCCCCCUG